AUGAACGCUAGCGACAGGCCUAACACGAUAGCAAGUCAGGGGCAGCACAAGGAGCAAUCUGAGGUGGCGACCGGCGCACGGGUGAGUAACACGUAUGCAACCUGCCUGUAAGCGGGGAAUAACCCGUUGAAAGACGGACUAAUACCGCAUAAUACUAAAUUACUGCAUGGUAAUUUAUUUAAACAUUUAUGGCUUACAGAUGGGCAUGCGCAUGAUUAGCUAGUUGGAGAGGUAACGGCUCCCCAAGGCAACGAUCAUUAGGGGUUCUGAGAGGAAGGUCCCCCACACUGGUACUGAGACACGGACCAGACUCCUACGGGAGGCAGCAGUGAGGAAUAUUGGUCAAUGGACGAGAGUCUGAACCAGCCAAGUCGCGUGCAGGAAGAAUGUCCCUAUGGAUUGUAAACUGCUUUUGCAGGGGAAUAAAGUGCAUCACGUGUGAUGUUUUGUAUGUACUCUGCGAAUAAGGAUCGGCUAACUCCGUGCCAGCAGCCGC
rnacentral:rRNA from 1 species